rnacentral:rRNA from 1 species
GUCGGGAUUAUUGGGCGUAAGGGCUCGCAGGCGGUUUCUUAAGUCUGAUGUGAAAGCCCCCGGCUCAACCGGUGAGGGUCAUUGGAAACUGGGAAACUUGAGUGCAGAAGAGGAGAGUGGAAUUCCACGUGUAGCGGUGAAAUGCGUAGAGAUGUGGAGGAACACCAGUGGCGAAGGCGACUCUCUGGUCUGUAACUGACGCUGAGGAGCGAAAGCGUGGGGAGCGAACAGGAUUAGAUACCCUGGUAGUCCACGCCGUAAACGAUGAGUGCUAAGUGUUAGGGGGUUUCCGCCCCUUAGUGCUGCAGCUAACGCAUUAAGCACUCCGCCUGGGGAGUACGGUCGCAAGACUGAAACUCAAAGGAAUUGACGGGGGCCCGCACAAGCGGUGGAGCAUGUGGUUUAAUUCGAAGCAACGCGAAGAACCUUACCAGGUCUUGACAUCCUCUGACAACCCUAGAGAUAGGGCUUUCCCUUCGGGGACAGGAGUGGACAGGUGGUGCAUGGUUGUCGUCAG